CGCAGCCCCGGUUCCCGCCCGCGCCUCUCCCUCCACACCUCCCCGCAAGCUGAGGGAGCCGGCUCUGGCCUCGGCCAGCCCAGGAAGGGGCUCCCACAGUGCAGUGGUGGGCUGAAGGGCUCCUCAAGUGCGGCCAAAGUGGGAGCCCAGGCAGAGGAGGCGCCGAGAGCGAGGGAGGGCUGUGAGGACUGCCAGCACGCUGUCACCUCUCAAUAGCAGCCCAAACAGAUUAAGACAUGGGAGAUGUACAAGGGCAGCCGUGGAGCUGGCGACAGCUUCGUAAUCCUGGCUUCCUGCUUUCUUGGUCACAGCCCUGGUGGUGUGUUCUUGAUCUCAGUCCAUCCAGUGGCAUUGUUUGAUCCCUCCCACCUUGCUGAUCAUUCGUAGUGUAGCCCCCAAGGUGAAAGACAACUUGAGUGGUUAAAUUACUGUCAUGCAAAGCGACUAGAUGGUUCAGCUGAUUGCACCUUUAGAAGUUAUGUGGAACGAGGCAGCAGAUCUUAAGCCCCUUGCUCUGUCACCCAGGCUGGAAUGCAGUGGUGGAAUCAUGGCUCACUACAGCCCUGACCUCCUGGGCCCAGAGAUGGAGUGUCGCUAUUUUGCCCAGGUUGGUCUCGAACACCUGGCUUCAAGCAGCCCUCCUGCUUUGGCUUCUUGAAGUGCUUGGAUUACAGUAUUUCAGUUUUAUGCUCUGCAACAAGUUUGGCCAUGUUGGAGGACCAUCCAAAGGUCAGCAAGUUGGCUACUGGCGAUUGGAUGCUCACUCUGAAGCCAAAGUCUAUUACUGUGCCCGUGGAAAUCCCCAUCUCCCCUCUGGGUUGACAUUCUUAACCUUCCUGGAUCCUAUCAGAGAAACCUUGUUCAUCAUUUCAUUUCCAAAUUAUGAAGACCAUCUGGGCCUGACUGAAGAUGCUUGUUUCUUCCUCUUCCCUAACGCCCUUUCUACCAGUGCGGACUGCAGGUAUGGACAUAGGGAAGGAUGGGUAAGUAUUAAGUGCUGUGAGCUCUGAGGAAGAAGAAAUUCCAUAUAUACAACCAGAUAGUGCAUGUAUGUGUAAUGCUUAUUUUAUGCCCAUUUAAUUAAUGCUAUGAUCACUAUUGCUUCUAGUAAUUCAUUUGAUUUUCAUUAGUAAUAGAAAGACAGACCAACUCCUUGAAAUCAGAGAGAGCUUUAAAAAAUGCUCAGCCAGGAGGUGUUAAGUAUUUCACUAAGCGUGAGACUUCUGGCAAAACCUCCAUCUCAGCAUUCGGUUGUUCUCUUUGUUAACAGUUGUUGACAGAGAUACAGGAAUAGAUUUUGACCAGCAAUUCCAUAAGUACUUUACUCUACUGAAAUCCAUUCUUUGAUUUAUAAACUGCACAUUUAAUGUAAAUAGCACAUUAUUCCGCUCGUCACAUAGUUGAUAUAGUAAUGAUGAAUGUCUAUAAGUGAUAAUUACUCUGCAUUUAGGGCUCUCUGCGUGAUCUCGACUCACUGCAACCUUAUACAAACCUUAUACAAACAGUUAUAUCUUAAGCUGGCCCUAGGCAAAAUUGUAAAAUGGUCUAAUAAAUUAUCUUUUACUUAUA
rnacentral:sRNA from 1 species